CCUACGGGCGGCAGCAGUGGGGAAUAUUGGACAAUGGGCGAAAGCCUGAUCCAGCCAUGCCGCGUGUGUGAAGAAGGCCUUCGGGUUGUAAAGCACUUCCAGUGGGGAAGAAAGCCUUGGGGCUAAUACCCUCGAGGAAGGACAUCACCCACAGAAGAAGCACCGGCUAACUCCGUGCCAGCAGCCGCGGUAAUACGGAGGGUGCGAGCGUUAAUCGGAAUUACUGGGCGUAAAGCGCGCGUAGGCGGUCUGAUAAGCCGGUUGUGAAAGCCCCGGGCUCAACCUGGGAACGGCAUCCGGAACUGUCAGGCUAGAGUGCAGGAGAGGAAGGUAGAAUUCCCGGUGUAGCGGUGAAAUGCGUAGAGAUCGGGAGGAAUACCAGUGGCGAAGGCGGCCUUCUGGACUGACACUGACGCUGAGGUGCGAAAGCGUGGGUAGCAAACAGGAUUAGAACCCUAGUAGUC
rnacentral:rRNA from 1 species